UACGGAGGAUGCGAGCGUUACCCGGAUUUAUUGGGUUUAAAGGGUGCGCAGGCGGCCUAUUAAGUCAGUGGUGAAAUCCUUCCGCUUAACGGAAGAACUGCCAUUGAUACUGAUGGGCUAGAAUGUAGUUGAAGUAGGCGGAAUGUGUAGUGUAGCGGUGAAAUGCUUAGAUAUUACACAGAACACCGAUAGCGAAGGCAGCUUACUAAGCUAUUAUUGACGCUCAGGCACGACAGCGUGGGGAUCGAACAGG
rnacentral:rRNA from 1 species